rnacentral:rRNA from 1 species
UGCAGUCGAGGGGUAGAGGAAGCUUGCUUCCUUGAGACCGGCGCACGGGUGCGUAACGCGUAUGCAAUCUACCUUGUACAGGGGGAUAGCCCAGAGAAAUUUGGAUUAAUACCUCAUAGUAUCUUCGGAAGGCAUCUUCUGAUUAUUAAAGUUCCAACGGUACAAGAUGAGCAUGCGUCCCAUUAGUUAGUUGGUAAGGUAACGGCUUACCAAGACGAUGAUGGGUAGGGGUCCUGAGAGGGAGAUCCCCCACACUGGUACUGAGACACGGACCAGACUCCUACGGGAGGCAGCAGUGAGGAAUAUUGGACAAUGGGCGCAAGCCUGAUCCAGCCAUGCCGCGUGCAGGAAGACGGCCCUAUGGGUUGUAAACUGCUUUUAUACAGGAAGAAACACUCCCUCGUGAGGGAGCUUGACGGUACUGUAGGAAUAAGGAUCGGCUAACUCCGUGCCAGCAGCCGCGGUAAUACGGAGGAUCCAAGCGUUAUCCGGAAUCAUUGGGUUUAAAGGGUCCGUAGGCGGCCUUAUAAGUCAGUGGUGAAAUCUCCUAGCUCAACUAGGAAACUGCCAUUGAUACUGUAGGGCUUGAAUUUUUGUGAAGUAACUAGAAUAUGUAGUGUAGCGGUGAAAUGCUUAGAUAUUACAUGGAAUACCAAUUGCGAAAGGCAGGUUACUAACAAACGAUUGACGCUGAUGGACGAAAGCGUGGGUAGCGAACAGGAUUAGAUACCCUGGUAGUCCACGCUGUAAACGAUGGAUACUAGCUGU